rnacentral:rRNA from 1 species
GGGUGAGUAAUGCGUAGGAAUCUACCUAGUAGUACGGAAUAGCCAUUAGAAAUGGUGGGUAAUACUGUAUAAUCCCCGAGGGGGAAAGAUUUAUCGCUAUUAGAUGAGCCUACGUUAGAUUAGCUAGUUGGUGAGGUAAUGGCUUACCAAGGCUAUGAUCUAUAGCUGGUCUGAGAGGACGAUCAGCCACACUGGAACUGAGAUACGGUCCAGACUCCUACGGGAGGCAGCAGUGGGGAAUAUUGGACAAUGGGCGAAAGCCUGAUCCAGCUAUGCCGCGUGAGUGAAGAA